UACGUAGGGGGCAAGCGUUGUCCGGAAUCAUUGGGCGUAAAGCGCGUGUAGGCGGCUCGAUAAGUCUGCUGUGAAAGUCCAGGGCUCAACCCUGGGAUGCCGGUGGAUACUGUCGAGCUCGAGUCCGGAAGAGGCGAGUGGAAUUCCUGGUGUAGCGGUGAAAUGCGCAGAUAUCAGGAGGAACACCAGUGGCGAAGGCGACUUCCUGGCCUGUUCUUGACGCUGAGGCGCGAAAGCUAGGGGAGCAAACGGG
rnacentral:rRNA from 1 species